rnacentral:misc_RNA from 1 species
AAAUGGCGUAGAGAGUGGGGACGGGUGCCUGACCGACGGAGAGGUAGUCACGAGAGGCGUCGGGGCGGGCGUUGUACAUCUCGGUGCGGACGGUCAUGGAGACCUGGGUUUCGGGGGCGCAGUUGGCGAAGAAGAGGGAGUACUCGUCCGGGAGGGGAAUGGGGAACGAGUGGUUGUAGGAGCUGGAGGGCGGUGGGGAGAGGUCGCGGAAGGUGAAGAGAAGGCGGAUGUGGGGGUUGGAGAUGACGCAGUCGGGGGGUGAGCCUUGCUGGACGUCGUACAUGGCCUGGAUGAGGGCCUCGUCGGAGAUUAGGAAGAAGCCGAGGGAGGAGGGGUCGGGGGGCGCGAGGGAGGACGUGACGGAGACGUCGGAGACGGUGAUGGCGACGGAUCCGGUGGGGGUGAAGCCGAACUUCUCGAAGAGGAUGAGGGGGCGGGGGUCCGUGGUGAUUUUGAGGUUUUUGAUCUCGGCGGUGGCGAGGGAGAGGAGGAGUACCAGGGCGAGGAGGAGGAUGGCGGCGGAUCGGGCCAUCGGGGCGGCGAUCGGAGCUAGGGAUUCAGCCGGCGAUUGGGGAUCGG